rnacentral:misc_RNA from 1 species
GGAAGAAAAUGAUAACAUAAUUGGUGGAAUCUCAUUCUCCGCCAGCUCAAGUCCGCUUGACGGGAUCGAAAUUGGAGACGCCGAUAACUGCACCCAAGAUAGCAGUGACGACUACUCCACCGGCGGCAAUGCUGAGCAAGAAAUUCUUUAGAGAAGGACUAACUCCAGGCCCGGCAGCUUCAGCCACCUCAGGAAGCACCAUGGAAGCCGU